CUCAGCUCAGCUCAGCUCAUUUGGUUCUUGGCCGCCCAGUUCAAUUAACUAAUAAGCACUCCUCAGCAGAAAUCUUCUGAGUUGAUAUACUACUAUUGUUGUUCGAUUAGCCAUGUUAGGCGAAGCCUCAUCAUCACCUUCCUUUUUCUUUCAUUUCUUUCUGCUCCACCCUGGGGAUGGGACCGGCGGCGAGCCGGAGUUGCAGUUGAGUAUUUGACUCUCGCCCUUCGGUCUCUUCCUCCGUUCCCGUCAUCAUCAUCACGCCCCUUCCCGGAAUCUUCCAUGGUUUCAUCCUUUAAAGAAAGCACCAUCUGCAGAGCUUCACAGCGGAGUAAAUUCCACUUCUUUAGCCAUACAUAGCACAAGUGUACAACUGCACAACACAGCCUAGCAGAGCAGAGCAAUGGCCGCCACGCCGGAGGAAUUCCUGGGGCAGCAGAGUUUCCUUUCGCGGCUGGAGCCGCCCUCGCCGUCCCUGUUCCUCGGCCUGCCGCCGACGCCCCGCGGCGUGGAGGACGGGGACUCCUCGUUUGACGACAUGGCGCUGCCCUACAUCUCGCGCCUGCUGGAGGAGGACAUGGAGGACCACUUCUUCUACCUGUACCCCAACCACCCCGCGCUCCUCAGGGCGCAGCUGCCCUUCGUGCAGAUCCUCGUCGACGUCGCCGACAGCGCCAGCGGCUCCACCUCCGCGCUCUCGCCGUCCUCCUCCACCUCCACCUUCGACGCCACUGCCUCCACAACCCCCAGCGCUACAUCGCCCUACGACGCAGCGAUCCAGAUCUCACGGCCGCCCUACGCCGAAGUACUGGGCCUUGCCUCAGGUUCACCGGACACCCAGAGCUCGGCGCUCCUCAGCGGCGACGAGGAAGCCCAAAACCCUAGCUCUGACUUCGUCAUUGGGAAUUAUUUGUUGCCCGGCGACCAGGACAUGCUCAACUUGGCCUUCCUCAAAGGCAUGGAGGAGGCGAGGAAGUUCUUGCCGCCCAACAGCAGCCUCCCGGCCAUGAAGGUGGACCAAGUGGUGGCCGGAGUGCACGCUGGAGCCGGCCUCAAGAAAAAGAGGGACACUCUAGAGCCAGACAUGGGCAGGGCCAGCAAAUUGAUGAUGCCGGAGCAGGAGGAGGAUGGCGCACGAGAGCUGUUCGACGAAAUGAUGUUCCAGGAACACGAGAUAUGCAUGAAGGGGGUUCAGCAGCUUCGCGUCGCUGUGGACAGUGAACCCGGGAAGAACAGACGGAAGAAGGGUCGGCCAAGACGGGACUCGAGUGAUAGUGAGAUGGUGGACCUGCACACGCUGCUGCUCAACUGCGCCCAGGCGCUGUCCACAGACAACCGGCGGACCGCAAGUGAGCUGCUGAAAAGAAUCAGGCAGCAUUCGACCCCAAAGGGUGAUGCGGCGCAAAGGCUAGCGCAUUAUUUUGCCGAGGCGCUGGAUGCACGGCUGGCGGGUAGGGGGAGCGAGCUGUACCAGUCGCUCAUGGCAAGGCGUACCUCGGUUGCAGACUUUCUCAAGGCCAACCAGCUUUACAUGGCAGCUUGCUGCUGCAAGAAGGUGGCCUUCAUCUUUGCCAAUAAGACCAUCUGCAAUGCUGUGGUAGGGAAGAGCCGGUUGCACAUUGUGGACUAUGGUCUGAGUCAAGGACUGCAGUGGCCGGGCCUGUUACGUAUGCUUGCAGCUAGAGAAGGUGGACCACCAGAGGUGAAGAUCACCGGCAUUGACCUCCCUCAACCUGGGUUCCAAGGAGCCUACCACAUUGAGGAGACGGGGCGCAGGCUCAGCAACUUCGCCCGCGUGUUCGGUGUGCCGUUUAAGUUCCAUGGUAUUGCAGCAAAGCGGGAGACAGUCCAGCCGGAGGACCUGAGCAUCGACCGUGAUGAGGUGCUUGUGGUGAUUAGUCUUUGCCAUUUCAGGCUUUUGAUGGACGAAAACCUCGGCCUUGAUACUCCGAGCCCCAGGGAUCAGGUCCUCAACAACAUCAGGAAGAUGCGGCCAGAUGUGUUCAUCCAUGGCAUUAUGAAUGGCUCGUAUGGUGCUACAUACUUCCUGACACGGUUCAGGGAGGCAUUGUUCAAUUACUCGGCCCAAUUCGACCUGCUGGAUGCGACAGUCCCCCGGGAUAACGAAGGGCGUCUGCUGCUUGAGCGCGACAUCUUUGGGCGGUCUGCCCUGAAUGUCAUUGCAUGUGAGGGCUCAGACCGCGUGGAGCGCCCUGAGACAUACAAGCAGUGGCAGCUCCGGAACCACCGGGCUGGGCUGAGGCAGCUGCCAUUGAAUCCAGAUGUUGUUAGGCUUGUGCUGGACAAGGUUAAGGACAACUACCACAAGGACUUCGUCGUUGAUGAGGAUCAGCGGUGGUUGCUGCACAGGUGGAAGGGGCGUGUGCUCUAUGCCCUGUCAACAUGGGUUGCCGACAAUGCAACCUAGCUUCUUUGCUCAAUCAAACUUGGAUUAUUGACAUCAAUAGAUAUAUUCAUGUUUAUACUGGUCCCAUGGUUUGCAUUCUAUUAUGUACUUUACAUGGCCAGAGAAAACCAGAGUAGCAAGGAAUACUGAGCCUGAAAGAGGUUACUGAUUUGGUCAAAUAUGCAGAUCGGGGCAGGGAUAUAGGACUAUAGAUUAAGCAUGAUCUGGUGGAUUCAUGCAAUACUGGGAAGGAAGAUGAAAUUCAAGAUUGGAAGUAAAAAAGCUUGUAGAUGAUGAGGACCACCAUGACAACCAGUUUGUUGCUUGUGAAGCUACCAUGCUCUUCUACAGUUGGCUGGUAAAUAGUUUAUCGAGAUGGCAUAUUUUAUUUGUUAUCAAAAGUCGACAAACUUGAGAUGUUUUCAAGGGAUAUGUGAGCCAAGAUCAUUCAAUAUAUAUGGGCCACUGGUUGAAGGAAUCAAGGGAUGCCUCCAGGACUUUGAGGACCAUGCGCUGCUGGCGGUCUGACGUACAGCUAAUGAGGUAGCACAUGCAUUAGCAAAGGAGAGCUGGAAUAAUUACUUGGCUUCAUGUUUCACUGGAGUGUAUUAUGAACUUGCUAGACAAGGAGUGUAAUCACAGUGCAUAAUUUAAUAUAAGCAGCUAAUUCUCAAACAAAAAAGAAGUUAGAGAGACGUUUUUAUA